rnacentral:rRNA from 1 species
AACGAACGCUGGCGGCAUGCCUAACACAUGCAAGUCGAACGAGACCUUCGGGUCUAGUGGCGCACGGGUGCGUAACGCGUGGGAAUCUGCCCUUUGCUUCGGAAUAACAGUUAGAAAUGACUGCUAAUACCGGAUGAUGUCUUCGGACCAAAGAUUUAUCGGCAAAGGAUGAGCCCGCGUAGGAUUAGGUAGUUGGUGGGGUAAAGGCCUACCAAGCCGACGAUCCUUAGCUGGUCUGAGAGGAUGAUCAGCCACACUGGGACUGAGACACGGCCCAGACUCCUACGGGAGGCAGCAGUGAGGAAUAUUGGACAAUGGGGGAAACCCUGAUCCAGCAAUGCCGCGUGAAUGAAGAAGGCCUUCGGGUUGUAAAAUUCUUUCUACUCGUGAUGAUGAUGACAGUAGCGAGAGAAGAAGCUCCGGCUAACUCUGUG